rnacentral:ncRNA from 1 species
UGGUGUUAUUAACUCCUAGCCUUUUUACCUAAGUUUGUGAACUUAACAUUUAAAUAGGGUAUUAAGGCCGUGGCAUUUAUCAGCCACCAGGGUGCAAGGUAGAAAUGCCUGCAUCUCCCGUAUUUGGAAAGGCGUUAUUAUGACUCAACU